rnacentral:misc_RNA from 1 species
UCCGGUUUGUCACCGGCAGUCUGGCGUGAGUCCCCAACUUAAUGCUGGCAACGCGCCACGGGGGUUGCGCUCGUUGCGGGACUUAACCCAACAUCUCACGACACGAGCUGACGACAACCAUGCACCACCUGUGCACGGCCCUUACGGACCCCGCAUCUCUGCGAGAUUUCCGUGCAUGUCAAGCCUAGGUAAGGUUCUUCGCGUUGCAUCGAAUUAAGCAACAUGCUCCGCCGCUUGUGCGGGCCCCCGAAGGAGCACCGUGUUUCCACGGUUUC